AUGACAAUUAACCACAACCAGAGUCCACGACAACUAAAAUUGAAGAUAUCGUCAGUCGUCAUUUGACUCAUUUCGUUACUCAACUAAGUUUACUAUUUAGCGUACUAACAAAAACCUAGCAAAAACUUCAAGCAAAAAAGCAUUCGACACUUAUCUUUUUAAUCAAAAAAGCAUUUGACCCGCUUCUUUUUAAUCGAAAAAGCAUUCGACCCGCUUAUUUUUAAUCGAAAAGGCAUUCGACCUGCUUCUUUUUAAGCAAGAAAGCAUCCGACCCGCUUCUUAAGCGAAAAAAGCAUCCGACCGGUUUCUUUUUAAGCAAAAAAAGGUUUCUACCUGCUUUUUAAGCGCUAAAGCAUUCGACCCGUUUCUUUU
rnacentral:lncRNA from 1 species